UACGUAGGGUGCGAGCGUUAAUCGGAAUUACUGGGCGUAAAGCGUGCGCAGGCGGUUCGCCAAGUCAGGUGUGAAAUCCCCGGGCUUAACCUGGGAAUUGCGCUUGAAACUAGCGGGCUCGAGUGUGGCAGAGGGGGGUGGAAUUCCACGUGUAGCAGUGAAAUGCGUAGAGAUGUGGAGGAACACCGAUGGCGAAGGCAGCCCCCUGGGUCAACACUGACGCUCAUGCACGAAAGCGUGGGGAGCAAACAGG
rnacentral:rRNA from 1 species